UACGGAGGGUGCUAGCGUUGUUCGGAAUUACUGGGCGUAAAGCGCACGUAGGCGGCUUUGUAAGUUAGAGGUGAAAGCCUGGAGCUCAACUCCAGAACUGCCUUUAAGACGGCAUCGCUCGAAGGCAGGAGAGGUGAGUGGAAUUCCGAGUGUAGAGGUGAAAUUCGUAGAUAUUCGGAAGAACACCAGUGGCGAAGGCGGCUCACUGGACUGGUAUUGACGCUGAGGUGCGAAAGCGUGGGGAGCAAACAGG
rnacentral:rRNA from 1 species